rnacentral:rRNA from 1 species
AUGGAUGGGGAGUUGCCAGAAUACGACAGUGAUGUGCAAAAUAUGUUGGAUCACUUCAUCACAAGCGAACAGGGCCACCUACCCCCGCACGAGCAUGGUGAUGAGAUGCAUGACCUGCUGGGAGCCACUACCAACAUGGGCAACACUGACGAUGCCAACGCUGCUGCUGCAGACAAAGGCAACAAUAACGAUGAAGAGACCAAUCAUGUGCAGAGAAUGGUGACAAGGCGUGCAAAUUAUAACCGUCUCCGUGGAGAACAAAUCCAACAACUUGAAGCUGUGUUCCAGAAAAGCCCUUAUCCAGAUGCAGAACUCCGGAAAGACCUUAGCGAGAGGCUUCACAUGAGUGCCCUGCAGGUCAAGUUUUGGUUCCAAAACAAACGCUCCUCUAGCAAGGGCAAGAGGCAACUACAGGACACCAAGAAUCUUCAGGGAGAGAACCAGAUGCUAAAAGAUGAAAACCAAGCCAUCAAGUGGGUCGUUGAAAACAAGACAUGCCUCAAAUGUGCAGGGGUGAGGCUAAAAACUCAGGAUACCUCGGAGCACCAACGCCUAUGUACAGAGAAUAUGAGGCUCAAGGAAGAACUCCGCCGUGCCACCGCCUAUCUUAAAGAACUCAGCAUGAGGCCCCAAUUUACCCGCGACUAA